CAGCAGCCGCGGUAAUACGUAGGUGGCGAGCGUUGUCCGGAAUCAUUGGGCGUAAAGGGAGCGCAGGCGGGCAUGUAAGUCUUUCUUAAAAGUUCGGGGCUCAACCCCGUGAUGGGAAAGAAACUACAUGUCUUGAGUACAGGAGAGGAGAGCGGAAUUCCCAGUGUAGCGGUGAAAUGCGUAGAUAUUAGGAAGAACACCAGUGGCGAAGGCGGCUUUCUGGACGAAAACUGACGCUGAGGCGCGAAAGCCAGGGGAGCGAACGGGAUUAGAUACCCCCGUAGUCCCUGUCUCUUAUACC
rnacentral:rRNA from 1 species